GCUGAACCCGUGUCAGGGUCUGAGCAGCCCUGCCUGGGGGGGAACUACUGCCACUGUGUUUUCAGGUGUCUGCGGAGCUCUGGGACAGCACAGGAGGACGGGGCACUGCCAGCUGCUGCAAGAGAGCUGCCACGGCAGCCAGCUGUGCUCUCUCUGAGCUGGAGCCUGCCGCGGCGUCAGCAGGGCAAGCAGUGAGAAACAGGCUGCCUGUACCAGCCUGAAGAUCAGAGGCCUCCCAUUAAAUAUAGAUGGCACUUCAUAGCUCUUGUGUAUAGACUAGGCAUAAAACAAUGCACGGAUGAGGACAACCUGACUGCAUCUUAUACUGCAAGGAAUAAGAAAGGAAUGGAGGGGAAGAUAUUCUAGAGGAAGGAGGACCCAGGAGUCUGCAUUGUCUUUCCACCUCUGGAGUUGUCCCUCUGCGACCCUUUGCGUGGGAGCAGCUGCGCGUUGCUGGUGAGUGUGCUGCUUCUAAGUCUUCCCAGACAAAGCUGCAUGGGAAUUCCAUGAAGUUAUUGUAUUAUGCAUCUGAAACAAUGAGACCAGACAUCGUGUUAAAAAAGAAGGAAAAAUAACGAAUGCCUGAAUGCUGCCUGGGCCUUCACCCAGUCCUCACACUCUUGCUGGCUGCUGUUAUCGUGAAUGGCACUAAUCAAUUCCAGGAAAUCUCUACACCAAGCAUUAUGUCACAUGCGAUUACAUCAUUCCCUCUAACAUUUAGGGCUUCCUGUUGACAUCUUUGGAGCUCUUCUACUACCAACUGGUAUUAGAACAAAUGCCAAAUGGUAUUUUUAGUAAUUUCUGCCUGCCAAAAGGAAUCCAAAUGUUUUCAUUUUGCAGCUUUCACCUGCUGGAUCUCAUCUUUACUCCUUAAAACAAGCAAAUCUUUGUGGGUCUGCUCGGGGUCUCCCCAGGUGUUUCCAUAAAGGAUGGUGGGACUGUGAGGGGUUUAAGACAGAAAGGGCUAAUGCCUCUGCAAAAUUUAUUUAUUCUUAAUAUCUACCAGAUUGCUAAUCCAGCCUGUCAGUUGUGUAACUUCUGUUAUAACUUCCAGCCCAGGACCCCAUUUCUCUGUUUCUUUCUGAGUUCUUUCCUAGGUGAUGCUGCUUCCCAGAGUGGGCUAUGUUUCACUUCGUGCUUGAUUUCCAAGCGUCAUCUCAUAAGGCAUUCCCCUCUCCCCUUGCAGGGCCAUCCUUACAGGGAAUUCUGCUGUUGACUUAUUUGCUACAAUCAAGACAGAAGGGGGCAUGAGGGAAAAGUCUACACGCAGGUUUUUGCUAUUGGACAUACUUCAUCCCUGAUACAGCAUCUGCACUAUGAAAUUCACCCUGAAUGAACGGGCAUUCAGGUGUCUUUACCUCCAGGAGACAGGACGCAACUCUCAGGCUGAAUUAGCCCCAGUUGGAUACGUUUUUUAAACUCUCCAGUGGUAACAGACCUGAAGACUUUUCCCCCACACUGGCCUGGACUGAACACUUGGCAGGUGAGUAAAAUUU
rnacentral:lncRNA from 1 species